rnacentral:rRNA from 1 species
GCUACAGGCUUAACACAUGCAAGUCGGGGGGCAGCAUCAUCAAAGCUUGCUUUGAUGGAUGGCGACCGGCGCACGGGUGAGUAACACGUAUCCAACCUGCCGACAACACUGGGAUAGCCUUUCGAAAGAAAGAUUAAUACCGGAUGGCAUAGUCUUCCCGCAUGGGAUUAUUAUUAAAGAAUUUCGGUUGUCGAUGGGGAUGCGUUCCAUUAGGCAGUUGGCGGGGUAACGGCCCACCAAACCUACGAUGGAUAGGGGUUCUGAGAGGAAGGUCCCCCACAUUGGAACUGAGACACGGUCCAAACUCCUACGGGAGGCAGCAGUGAGGAAUAUUGGUCAAUGGACGAGAGUCUGAACCAGCCAAGUAGCGUGAAGGAUGACUGCCCUAUGGGUUGUAAACUUCUUUUAUACGGGAAUAAAGUGAGCCACGUGUGGCUUUUUGUAUGUACCGUAUGAAUAAGGAUCGGCUAACUCCGUGCCAGCAGCCGCGGUAAUACGGAGGAUCCGAGCGUUAUCCGGAUUUAUUGGGUUUAAAGGGAGCGUAGGCGGGUUGUUAAGUCAGUUGUGAAAGUUUGCGGCUCAACCGUAAAAUUGCAGUUGAUACUGGCGACCUUGAGUGCAACAGAGGUAGGCGGAAUUCGUGGUGUAGCGGUGAAAUGCUUAGAUAUCACGAAGAACUCCGAUUGCGAAGGCAGCUUACUGGAUUGUAACUGACGCUGAUGCUCGAAAGUGUGGGUAUCAAACAGGAUUAGAUACCCUGGUAGUCCACACAGUAAACGAUGAAUACUCGCUGUUGGCGAUAUACAGUCAGAGGCCAAGCGAAAGCAUUAAGUAUUCCACCUGGGGAGUACGCCGGCAACGGUGAAACUCAAAGGAAUUGACGGGGGCCCGCACAAGCGGAGGAACAUGUGGUUUAAUUCGAUGAUACGCGAGGAACCUUACCCGGGCUUAAAUUGCAACUGACUGAACCGGAAACGGUUCUUUCUUCGGACAGUUGUGAAGGUGCUGCAUGGUUGUCGUCAGCUCGUGCCGUGAGGUGUCGGCUUAAGUGCCAUAACGAGCGCAACCCUUACGGGUAGUUACCAUCAGGUUAUGCUGGGGACUCUACCCGGACUGCCGUCGUAAGAUGUGAGGAAGGUGGGGAUGACGUCAAAUCAGCACGGCCCUUACGUCCGGGGCUACACACGUGUUACAAUGGGGGGUACAGAAGGCAGCUACACGGCGACGUGGUGCUAAUCCCGAAAGCCUCUCUCAGUUCGGAUUGGAGUCUGCAACCCGACUCCAUGAAGCUGGAUUCGCUAGUAAUCGCGCAUCAGCCACGGCGCGGCGAAUACGUUCCCGGGCCUUGUACACACCGCCCGUCAAGCCAUGAAAGCCGGGGGUACCUGAAGUACGUAACCGCGAGGAGCGUCCUAGGGUAAAACUGGUGAUUGGGGCUAAGUCAU